UACGUAGGGUGCGAGCGUUAAUCGGAAUUACUGGGCGUAAAGCGUGCGCAGGCGGUUAUGCAAGACAGAUGUGAAAUCCCCGGGCUCAACCUGGGAACUGCAUUUGUGACUGCAUGACUAGAGUACGGCAGAGGGGGAUGGAAUUCCGCGUGUAGCAGUGAAAUGCGUAGAUAUGCGGAGGAACACCGAUGGCGAAGGCGACCCCCUGGACCUGUACUGACGCUCAUGCGCGAAAGCGUGGGGAGCAAACAGG
rnacentral:rRNA from 1 species